UUUUUUUGUUAGUUUGAUAGGUAUUUGUAAAAUUCAAACAAAUUAAUAUUGACUAUUUGCUAAAUACAAUUUAGCUUGGAAAUAGAGACAGAACAUUAAUUACAAAUGAGAAAUUUAACUAUGCAGCAGCUAAUCGCAAAAAUUCAAAGCUUUUUUUCACCAAGCAUGUUUACUGAAUAUAUUUCUUAAAGAACACGUACCAUUCAUGCACGAGAAAUAACAUCGAAAUGAAAACCACGAACAGCGAACCAAUGAUAAAUUUGAAAUUUGAACUAAUAUUGCAAUAACCUUGACACGAACCUCCUACAGCAGCAGUUUAUUACACUGUUCCAUAAAAAAUAGCUUAGUGCUACAAAAAUACCCAUGCAUCCGAUUUCACCGAACUUCACUGCCAGCUGAAAAGAGUUGCAAGGAAAAGUUUUCUCGGCAAGAUACGUAACAUUUGCUUAUAUUGGAGCACGCAGUCAACAGCGGGCAUAGCAUGUGCUUGCAUAGAGGUAGAAGAGGGCGAGGCGACACAAUCAAUGCAGCAGAAAUCACUAAGAAAAAGGUCGGAUGAAAUGAAAAAAUCAACGGAGAAACGAACGAAAAAAUUAGUUGGGUGGAAGCGGCGAAGUGCAUUUACCAGUGAUAUACUCUGUUUGCACAACUGAGAGGCGGCGCCUCAAUACCCAUUCGUUAAUUGAUGUGUCAGCAAAUAGCACAGUUUUAUGCAAACCAAGCUAAAAACCAGGCGACUUCCUCAAUAAUAUGAAGAAAGUAAAAUCGAAAGUCUCAAACAAUUGCAAGAAAACUGAAAACUUUCGCAAGUGUGAUGGUGCAAUGGCCUUGAACUAAGUAAUUUCGAAAGAGCAAACAAAAAACGACGAGAUAUUAUAAGAAAAAAAACGGACAAACAUUUGAAUUAUGACCAAAAUUUGCUUAAGUAAAACAGAAGGAGUAUGUCGACAAUUCCAAUAACAACUUUGGUAUAAGUAGUUUUCUUUUUGGUUUUGAAACUUUAAUGAAAUUGGAGAAUGGCAAUAAUGAUGGGUGCAGCAAUGUUAAAACCUUUGUUUGAGUUUGGAAUGGAAUUCCAAUAAUUUUUUAUUAUUUUUCGCACAAAUUGGCUUGUAUAGAACGGUUCUUUGAAGCAAGUUGAUAUUUCGCUUGCAUUACUUGGCAAUUGCACUAAAAUCAAUCGUAGGAAAAUCGCACAUUAUUAUCUUUAAACGUUUCUUCAGCGUGAAUUAUGUACGCAUACACAAUUUUUGUUAUUUAUAUAAGAAUAAUUUUGCUCAAUAAGAGAUACCUUAAUAUCGUACUUAUGUAUCAUAUUAUAUAUCGUAAUGAAUGAGGUUGGUGUAUGGCCAGAGUGUUGUGUUAGGCUACCUGAUUCGCGCGUACCUUGACAGCUGUCAUUGUUUUAACCACCUAAGUACAUAAAUAAUUUUUUAUUGAGAGUAAAGAUAAAUAAGUUUAUAGCACGCUUACACGCAUGGAAAUUUUCAAUGUAAAUAAAAAUGCCACCAUGUAUUUAUAUGCAUAUACAUAUAUAUGUAUAAAUUGACACAGAAUAUGCAAUAUACAAAACUAUGAAACGGCUCCAUUGAUAUUAAUUAAUUCCGCCGUGUUUAUUUGUCUUUACUAUUUAUGUUUUCAGGUAAAUAUUGUCGCUGUUUUUAUAUUUGCAAAUAAAUACUCAAUAAAACA